UACGGAAGGCAGCAGUGGGGAAUAUUGCACAAUGGGCGCAAGCCUGAUGCAGCCAUGCCGCGUGUAUGAAGAAGGCCUUCGGGUUGUAAAGUACUUUCAGUCGUGAGGAAGGUGUUAAGGUUAAUAACCUUAGCAAUUGACGUUAGCGACAGAAGAAGCACCGGCUAACUCCGUGCCAGCAGCCGCGGUAAUACGGAGGGUGCGAGCGUUAAUCGGAAUUACUGGGCGUAAAGGGCACGCAGGCGGUUAAUUAAGUUGGAUGUGAAAUCCCCGGGCUUAACCUGGGAAUGGCAUUCAAGACUGGUUAGCUAGAGUCUUGUAGAGGGGGUAGAAUUCCAUGUGUAGCGGUGAAAUGCGUAGAGAUGUGGAGGAAUACCGGUGGCGAGGGCGGCCCCUGGGACAAAGACUGACGCUCAUGUGCGAAAGCGUGGGGAGCAAACAGGAUUAGAUACC
rnacentral:rRNA from 1 species